AAUCUUCGGCAAUGGACGAAAGUCUGACCGAGCAAUGCCGCGUGAGUGAAGAAGGUCUUCGGAUUGUAAAGCUCUGUUAUUAGGGAAGAAAGACCAUUGUAGGAAAUGACAAUGGAGUGACGGUACCUAAUGAGAAAGCCACGGCUAACUACGUGCCAGCAGCCGCGGUAAAACGUAGGUGGCAAGCGUUGUCCGGAAUUAUUGGGCGUAAAGAGUGCGUAGGCGGUCUAUUAAGUCUUAUUUGAAAGCCCAUGGCUUAACCAUGGAGGGUGAUAGGAAACUGGUAGACUUGAGUACAGGAGAGGAAGGUGGAAUUCCACGUGUAGCGGUGAAAUGCGUAGAUAUGUGGAGGAACACCGGUGGCGAAGGCGGCCUUCUGGCCUGUGUCUGACGCUAAGGCACGAAAGCGUGGGGAGCAAACAGG
rnacentral:rRNA from 1 species